GACGAACGCUGGCGGCGUGCUUAACACAUGCAAGUCGAACGGAAAGGCCCUGCUUGCAGCGUACUCGAGUGGCGAACGGGUGAGUAACACGUGGGUGAUCUCCCCUGCACUUCGGGAUAAGCCCGGGAAACUGGGGCUAUUACCGGAUAGGAACGAUCUUGAGUGUGGUGGUUGGAUAGUUUUUUCGUUGUAGGAUGAGCUCGCGGCGUAUCAGCUUGUUGGUGGGGUAAUGGCGUACCAAGGCGGCGACGGGUAGCCGGCCUGAGAGGGUGUACGGCCACACUGGGACCCAGAUACAGGCCAGAGUCCUACAGGAGGCAGAAGUGGGGAAUAUUUGACAAUGGGCGCCAGCGUGAUGCAGCGAGGCCGCGUGGGGGAUGAAGGCCUUCGGGUUGUAAAAACCUCUCGCUAGGGACGAAGCUUUGUUGUGACGGUACCUAGAUAAGAAGCACCGGCUAACUACGUG
rnacentral:rRNA from 1 species